CCAUCCACACAAGGGCUUGACGACCAGAAAUUUGGGGGAAGUCAAGAAAUCUCCCUAGGUAUGUCUAAGAAUUCUAGUAGAGCCAAGUGGAAUCAUCAGAUGAAGGCAUAUCUUAUUGAACUGUUAAGAGAUCAUGAUGUUCCCAAAUACCGCACACAAAAUGCAUGGAGUAAAGAGGCCUGGACAAAUAUUGUUGCUAAAUUCAAUCAAAGAUUUGAUGUAUCCUUCAUGGUAGUUCAAGUGAAGCAAAAUGAGCAGGAUCUAAAGAGAGAUUUCAAAGCUGUAAAAGACUUAAUAUUUGAAAGUGGUUUUGGCUGGGAUCGUGACAGAAAGAUGGUGGUGGCGCCCGAUAAUGUUUGGGCUGCACUAGAGGCACGUAAAAACAAGGAUGCACUCUUGUGGCGAGGAAAGUCAUUUCCAUAUUAUGAAGAUCUUUUUGCUCUAUAUGAUGGACGCUAUGCUCAGGGAAGGAGUUGCCAUGGCAUGGAUUAUUAUGCGAACAAAGCAACUCAGCUCUCACAGUUACCAACAUCACAUUCACCACAAUAGCAAGGGGCUCCUGGUGAUUCAUCCAUGCAAUUUGACAUUGAAGAGGAUAGUGAAAACACAAACUGGUUUUCUAGCAAUAAUACAUUCAGUCAAGUGGAGGCAAACCCGACUCAAGUUGAAACAGUACCAAUUUCCUCACAGCGCGUUGGACAGACUUUGCAUGAAAUUCCACAAGUUGUACAUCGCAAUCCUCGACCAGCUAGCUCAGCUCCUGAGGUUACUAGCACCAAGAGAGCGAGAAAGAAAAAGAUGACCAGUAUUGACGAUUUUCAUGAGAGAUACCUGAAACUGAGAAGGGAAGAAAUAGAUAGGUAUACAGCCAUUGAGGAGAGGAAAUUAAGGGACCCGUUCAGCAUCAAGAAAUGCAUCAAAGCACUGGAAAGGUUGGAAGAUCUUUCGAUGGCACAUAUGCUAAAAGCAGCGGACAUCUUUACUGCCAACAAGGAGAACAGGGAGGUAUUUCUAUCAUUUUCAAGUAACGAAUUACGGUUGGGUUGGUUGACUGAAAAAAUUCGGAAUACCUAA
rnacentral:rRNA from 1 species